UGCCGCCGGCCGGCCGUCCGCCAGCCGGAGAGGAGCGCUCCGCCCGCGGCUGACAAAGGACGGGAGGAUGCCUGCGCCGCGGGAGGCGGGCUGCGCGCAGCCGGGCGGCCGCCUGAGCGGCUUCUCCCUCCGCCGGGAAUGUACCCAAGAGGAGUUCUGAGACAAUGUCCUCAGAUGUUCUGCUGGGAUUAAACAAGACACUGCUGUAUUUUAACUGAGCUUGGCAAAGCCAGGAUAUGAACAAUUGUGCAGGUGGGCUCCUCAGGGCGAGUGAAGAGCCACCUGCAGCCCUGCCACUAUGCCCCUCCACCAGAUUUCCGUAAUCCCCACCCGGGAGACGGCCAGCAAUGGGCGAAGUUCAGUGGGCAGAAACAAAGAGAAGAACAAGGAA